UGCAUCUGAAGCCGGUGAGGAUGAGAAUCUCCGGGGACAGAGGCUCGACCCGAGCGUAGCGAGGGAACGUUGCUUAAGCAACGGCCCGCAGGGCGAGCCACGUAGUGGUGAGUCAUCCUCUAUCACCGACCA
rnacentral:sRNA from 1 species